rnacentral:rRNA from 1 species
UGGUCGUACGCUUCUUUUUCCACCGGAGCUUGCUCCACCGGAAAAAGAAGAGUGGCGAACGGGUGAGUAACACGUGGGUAACCUGCCCAUCAGAAGGGGAUAACACUUGGAAACAGGUGCUAAUACCGUAUAACAAUCGAAACCGCAUGGUUUUGAUUUGAAAGGCGCUUUCGGGUGUCGCUGAUGGAUGGACCCGCGGUGCAUUAGCUAGUUGGUGAGGUAACGGCUCACCAAGGCUACGAUGCAUAGCCGACCUGAGAGGGUGAUCGGCCACAUUGGGACUGAGACACGGCCCAAACUCCUACGGGAGGCAGCAGUAGGGAAUCUUCGGCAAUGGACGAAAGUCUGACCGAGCAACGCCGCGUGAGUGAAGAAGGUUUUCGGAUCGUAAAACUCUGUUGUUAGAGAAGAACAAGGAUGAGAGUAACUGUUCAUCCCUUGACGGUAUCUAACCAGAAAGCCACGGCUAACUACGUGCCAGCAGCCGCGGUAAUACGUAGGUGGCAAGCGUUUUCCGGGUUUAUUGGGCGUAAGCGAGCGCAGGCGGUUUUUUAGUCUGAUGUGAAAGCCCUCGGCUUAACCGAGGAAGCGCAUCGGAAACUGGGAAACUUGAGUGCAGAAGAGGACAGUGGAACUCCAUGUGUAGCGGUGAAAUGCGUAGAUAUAUGGAAGAACACCAGUGGCGAAGGCGGCUGUCUGGUCUGUAACUGACGCUGAGGCUCGAAAGCAUGGGUAGCGAACAGGAUUA